UACGAAGGGGGCUAGCGUUGCUCGGAUUGACUGGGCGUAAAGGGCGCGUAGGCGGUUUGCAUAGUCAGACGUGAAAUUCCUGGGCUUAACCUGGGGGCUGCGUUUGAUACAUGCAGGCUUGAGUUCGGAAGAGGGUCGUGGAAUUCCCAGUGUAGAGGUGAAAUUCGUAGAUAUUGGGAAGAACACCGGUGCGAAGGCGGCGACCUGGUCCGAUACUGACGCUGAGGCGCGAAAGCGUGGGGAGCAAACAGG
rnacentral:rRNA from 1 species